rnacentral:lncRNA from 10 species
AGACCUCAUAGCCUGCGGGAGAUGGGAGUCCGGGACGCGGACAGGACGGGCACUUACCUACGAAUAGCCAGAGGGAGCCCCCCGACACGAGGAAGAAGCAUGCAGAGCCCACCAGGACUCCAGCACCGAGGACAGCGCUCAGGCAGCCGGGCCUUCUCUAUACGCAGCCCUCCCAGGCCAGGAGCUGGCUGAGCCACAGCCCAGAAAGAAGAGGAUAGAAAACCAGAGAGCAGAAGUCAGGAAGCAGAGAGUGGAAGAGCAUGAGAUCUCUUCAGGCCCACCAGAGACCAUCAGCCAUGAGUGCAUGUGGGCUCACAGCUCAGCAGCUGGGAUCUGGACUCCUGGGAGAGCUGCUCCAGCUUGAACUCAGCCACAGCCUGGCAGGGACUUUGCUGGGAUCUCAAGCUUGGCAGGGCUCCUCCAAGAGGGUGUGACAGAGGCUGUAUGGCAGGACUCCUC